rnacentral:lncRNA from 1 species
UCCCCCAAGCCCCAUCUUCUGUUGGUUUAGCACAAAUACCCCUCUCUUUCAGCACCUCCAGACCUAACCCCCAGUCAAUGUAAUUGUUUUAUAUAUAUUUAAUCUUAUUCAAUGGAAACCAUGCUUUUGUCGUUUUAUACUUUGCUAGGUAGACUUUAUUACCCCCCCCAACUAUGCCCUCAUUUUUUUAAAAAAGGAAAAAAAAAAGAAAUUGGGUUUCAGUCUUAAUUCCUUUUCUGUGCCAGGUUUGAUUUCGUGCGUGCGUGUGAAUGUGUUCCGUUUCGUGUUUUGUUUUUGUUGUUGUUGUUUUCUGUUGUUCGGUUUUAUUUGCUCCCCUCUGGUUCCAAGAAGCGCUGGGCCAGCUUGGCCCCUUUUCUUCCGAGGGGAGGGGCGAGGCGGGUUGGGACACGUCCUCUUGUAGGGCUGUCUCUCUCUUUCCUCUCUCGCUGCUUCUGACCACUUCCUCUUUGCCCUGGGGCGGAGGCAGCUGUGACCACACUCGUGGCAGCUGUCCAGAGAGUGGCCUCGGAGGCUGUCCUGGAAGGGCCCUCCCGCUGGCUGGGGGUCUUCUCUGCCUUUACUUCCAGGGUCCUGCCUUGAGCCCCAGAGCAGUGAGGGGUGGGUGGGCUCCCCGAGGGCUCCCUCAUGGACCAAAAACCCCGACCCAGGGCUGCCCACCCUCCCUCAGGCUCUGCCUGGGCUGAAGCCGCUCCAAGCAGCUUCCGUGGAGGAUGUGGCCCAAGUCCAGGACCCCUGCCCGGUGGCCAGACAUCCCUGCCGCCCGAGGGAUACCCACGGAGGUGAAGGCGCAGCACCAGGCUCUCCGGCAGUGAAGGCCGCCCCCCGAGGCAGAGGAGAUGCGGCCUGGGAAGACAGUGGGCGCCCAGAGACACAGGCCUGGCUUGGCCAUUUGUUAGCUGGGGGCCUGGGGCAGGCUGCUUUUCUUCUUGGAGCCUCAGUUUCCGUAUCUGUGCAAUGGGCAUAAAUAAUGCCUUCAAGGGUUGUAGUAGGAAGUAAAUGAGGCACUAUGUGUACAGUGCUAAGUACAGAGCCUGGUACACAGCAGGCUCUUAAUAAUGUUAUCAGCUAUUAACAGGCAGACAAAGGUCAACCUCCUUGACCGUAGCCCACCAGCCUCCUAUGUGCAUGGAAAUUUCCAGGCAAGAAUACCGGAGUGGGUUGCCAUUUCCUACUCCAGGGGAUNNNNNNNNNNNNNNNNNNNNNNNNNNNNNUCCUGCGCUGCAGGCAGAUUCUUUACCAUCUGAGCCACCAGGGAAGCCCCAUUAUUAGGCAGAGCCUGCAGCUGGCCUGAUCCUUUCAGGAUGCCCCCCACCCCGCUAGUCACAGCCAUGGGCCUGGUUCAUGGCCUCUACCCGGUCUCCACUCCCACCCGAGCAGUUGCCCUGGCUUCCUUCCCAGAGCUGGUACAGCCUCAAGCUCAAGUCCACAAGGAGGACACCCUUCUCUAGUUGGCAGCAUCUCAGCCCCACCUAGCCAGUCUGGAAAAAAGAUCAGUGUCAGUUAUUGUUGGGGUGUCCAGCCCAGUAUUGUGCCAAAGCCUGGGGUCUAUCUUAAUUCUUUUUGUUUGCUUGUUUAUUUACGGCUGCACUGAGUCUUUGUUGUUGCGUGCGGGCUUUCUCGAGUUGCGGAGAGUAGGAGCUGCUCUCCAGUGCAGCGCAGGGCCUUCUCGCGGCGGGGGCUUCUCUUGUUGCAGAGCUCGUAGCUCUGAUGCACGGGCUUAGUUGCUUGUGGCAUGCGGGCUGUUCCUGGACCGGGAACCAACCUGUGUCCUCUGCAUUAGCAGGCAGAUUCUUAACCCCUGGGCCACCAGGGAAGACCUGUGUUGAUUCUUGUGGGAAGAUUUACAAAACAUGAGAUCGACCUCUUAAGCAUUGUCAAGUACAGCUCUGUGGCAUUGCGUGCAUUCACACGGCUCUAUGGGCAUCACUAGUGCCCGUCUCUGGAACUUUUUAUUGUUUUUUAAAUCUUCCCUGAUUUAGACUCCAUCCCCAUGAAGCGCUAACCCCCAGCCCCCUCUCCCAGCUCCUGUCACCCACCCUUCUGUGUUCUGUCUCUACGAGUCUAAUUGCUCUACGUGCCGCAUAGAGGUGGAAUCACACAGUAUUUUGUCUUUUGCAACU